GAUGCGAGGGUCGGCAGGCUUCUGCUGGCCUUGACCGCUUGCUAGGCUCGGAUGGCGCCUGUCUCUACUGUGCUCACACAUUGCUGCUUUCUUGCCAGUUGAAGAGCAAGAAAGGCAGGAAAGGAACAGAAGCCACCAGUCCCCAAAAGACAGUGCUGAGAAUAGCGCACACUUGGACUUCAUGUUGGCCCUGAGUCUGCAGAAUGAGGGACAGGCCUCCAGCAUGGUAGAGCAGGGCUUCUGGGAGUCUGUGCCGGAGGCCGACCCCGCUCGUGCUGGGCCCACAUCUCUAGGUGACAUAAAGGGUAAGUGUGCUGCUUUGGCAUCGUCUUCACAGCGCUUUCUUAUUUUUUAUUUUUGCUUGCUUGUAUGUUCUUGUACUGUAUGCAUUCGUAAAGGUGAACAGGUUCACACCUUUAAUGCCGGUACUUGGGAGAUCUCUGAGUUUCAAUUCAGGGCAGUAUAGUCAGACAGUCUUGGAAAAAUGGAUUGUUUUUUCAAGACAGGGUUUUCCGUGUAGCUCUGGCUGUGUUGGAACUUGUUCUAUAGACCAGGCUGGCCUGAAUUCAGAGAUGCACACACCACACACACCCCCAACCUCUGCCCUGAGUGCUGGGAAUAAAGGUGUGUGCUCCCACUGCUUGGCUGAAAAUAGAAAGAUUUAAUGAGACAGAACUCACCUUAUUUUUGCUUUUCCAACCUUAUUCUAAACUGUUCUGAGAACUGUGCAGUGGACCCCCACCUGCCCCUUGUCUCUGUUUCCCUUUUCUUUUUCUACACGG
rnacentral:lncRNA from 1 species